rnacentral:rRNA from 1 species
GACGAACGCUGGCGGCGUGCUUAACACAUGCAAGUCGAACGGAAAGGCCCUGCUUUUGUGGGGUGCUCGAGUGGCGAACGGGUGAGUAACACGUGAGUAACCUGCCCUUGACUUUGGGAUAACUUCAGGAAACUGGGGCUAAUACCGGAUAGGAGCUCCUGCUGCAUGGUGGGGGUUGGAAAGUUUCGGCGGUUGGGGAUGGACUCGCGGCUUAUCAGCUUGUUGGUGGGGUAGUGGCUUACCAAGGCUUUGACGGGUAGCCGGCCUGAGAGGGUGACCGGCCACAUUGGGACUGAGAUACGGCCCAGACUCCUACGGGAGGCAGCAGUGGGUAAUAUUGCACAAUGGGCGGCAGCCUGAUGCAGCAACGCCGCGUGCGGGAUGACGGCCUUCGGGUUGUAAACCGCUUUCGCCUGUGACGAAGCGUGAGUGACGGUAAUGGGUAAAGAAGCACCGGCUAACUACGUG